CGUGUAGGCGGUUCUGCAAGUCAGAUGUGAAAUCUCCGGGCUUAACCCGGAAGCUGCAUCUGAAACUGCAGAACUUGAGUACUGGAGAGGAUAGUGGAAUUCCUAGUGUAGCGGUAAAAUGCGUAGAUAUUAGGAGGAACACCAGUGGCGAAGGCGGCUAUCUGGACAGUAACUGACGCUGAGGCGCGAAAGCGUGGGGAGCAAACAG
rnacentral:rRNA from 1 species